CAUGUACUCCCUCCGUCCGAAAAUACUUUUCAUCAAAAUGGAUAAAAGGGGAUGUAUGUAGAACUAAUAUACGUCUAGAUACAUCCCCUUUUAUUCAUUUUGAACACAACUAUUUCCAGAUGGAGGGAGUAACAA
rfam:Triticum aestivum genome assembly, contig: Triticum_aestivum_CS42_TGACv1_scaffold_328080_4BS